AUUUUUUUAACAUCUUAAAAUACGUGUAAAAAAGUCAAAAGCAGUUAAAAUGGGACGGAGGGAGUACUUGAUAUCUUCAUAUUCGGGAACUAUCUCAGGGCAACAACAUUGUCGCCAUUAUCCAAAACAACCAAAAAACCCAGUUCCUUCAAAUGAUCGACGAGAACGUGGUUGACACAAUCUCCAAUCUCAAGGUUGUCCUGGGACCGAAACUCUAUCACACAGCGAUGUAGAUUACGUGAUCAACUUCUUCUACAUAACCAAGCUACACAAGGAUGUUGACACAGGAAUCAUUCCAUAGUACAAGUUCGGGUUACAAGAUUAUGACGCGGUGGCAGGAUUGGUAGGAAACGUAAAAGUAAUCAUAGGUGAGCAUAUUACAUCUUGCCUUAACUUGAAAUCAUUGUGAUCAAUUAAUCUCACUGCCUAUUAUAAUAUUGUCCAACAAAUGUCAUUGGUAUGGUAAAAAGUUAUGGAUGGCUCGAACGCAGGUCCAAUGGAGCCCAAAAAAUGGACGUCGUUCU
rnacentral:lncRNA from 1 species